rnacentral:rRNA from 1 species
CGGCGGACGGGUGAGUAACACGUGAGUAACCUGCCUUAGACAUUGGGAUAGCCUCGGGAAACCGGGAUUAAUACCAAAUGAAAUCACAUAUGCACAUGCAUAAAUGAUCAAAGCUCCGGCGGUCUAAGAUGGACUCGCGUCCCAUUAGCUAGUUGGUGAGGUAACGGCCCACCAAGGCGACGAUGGGUAGCCGGCCUGAGAGGGUGAACGGCCACAUUGGAACUGAGAAACGGUCCAAACUCCUACGGGAGGCAGCAGGG